rnacentral:rRNA from 1 species
CGGAGGGUGCGAGCGUUAAUUGGAAUUAAUGGGUGUAAAGCGCAUGCAGGUGGUUUGUUAAGUCAGAAGUGAAAGCCCUGGGCUCAACCUAGGAAUCGCAUUUGAAACUGACAAGCUAGAGUACUGUAGAGGGGGGUAGAAUUUCAGGUGUAGCGGUGAAAUGCGUAGAGAUUUGAAGGAAUACCGGUGGCGAAGGCGGCCCCCUGGACAGAUAUUGACACUCAGAUGCGAAAGCGUGGGGAGCAAACAGGAUUAGAUACCCUGGUAGUCCACGCCGUAAACGAUGUCUACUUGGAGGUUGUGCCCUAGAGGCGUGGCUUUCGGAGCUAACGCGUUAAGUAGACCGCCUGGGGAGUACGGUCGCAAGAUUAAAACUCAAAUGAAUUGACGGGGGCCCGCACAAGCGGUGGAGCAUGUGGUUUAAUUCGAUGCAACGCGAAGAACCUUACCUACUCUUGACAUCCUCAGAAUCUAGCGGAGACGCUGGAGUGCCUUCGGGAGCUCUGAGACAGGUGC